rnacentral:lncRNA from 1 species
CGGGAGGCGGCGCAGGCCGCGGCGGGGCCUGCAGCGGCCCGCCGACCCCGCGAGGCGGCGGAGCGGGCCCCGGGGCGGCUCAGCCUCGGGCUCGGCGGCCCGGGGCGGCCGGGGGCGGCCCCUCGGCUACUUACCGGGGGGAAAGAGAGCCGGGAUCCCGGGGCCCCGGGCCGGACCGCGGAGAUGCCCCAAACUGACACGGCCGCCAUCUUGGAGACACACGACGGCAAAGUGAUUCCCGAGGCCCCUGGCCCCAGACCUCAGCCGGGAUUUGUGGAGUGACUGGUUCUUCCUUCCUCCAGCAUUGUUGUUUUGAGUCUCUGUUCAUCUGCCUGCUCAGGCCCAGGGGGGAGCCGAGCGUAUUAUUAACUGAGUGUCAGGCUGUGUGUGUCUGAGCGGCGGUGAGCGCACGUGUCCUACGCCGAUUUCUGGUGCGCGCAGGCGGGGGAGGAAGCAAUUCCAAGCGCAAGUGGCGGCUUGUCCCUUUCGCAGAGUGUGUUGCGCCGAGGUGGCGUUGCGAUCCGUGGUAUGUAGUGCUGGCCUGAAACUCCUGACGACACCGUCCCAAACGUGGUCCACAGUCCUCCCCCGAACGAAGGGAGGUGUUUAAAGGUGUCUCUGAGAAACAGGCGCAACCCAGGCAGCCCGGCUCCAGAACAAUGGGUCCUUUCAGCCGCCCCCUUUAGAUGUAUGGCUCGUCACCAUGACAACCACCCCAUUAUUGAAAGUCAGAGCCGGUCCCUGCCGCAGACGCUCUGCUCCCGGGCGCCCCUCCCCCGCCGGCCCGCCGUAUGGUGUGUGUGGCACUGGCAGCUGUUGUCAAAAGAAGGCACUUCUUUGUCUCCAGGGGAUGAAAGACAUUUGGUUUUCAUCGCCACCCUUUCUCUCCUCCCGACAACUUUUCUCCGCGCACGGCGCCCUGUCCCCAGAAGUGCCCCCUGGAUGCUGGAGCCCGGCGCCGAGUCCCCGCCGUAACUUUGGUAUAAAUUUCCUCUCGGAUUCGCUCUUCUCAGAGCGUUUCUGCCUGUCCCUCAAACUCCUCGAUCCACUAGAAGUCUCACUUUCAACUGUAGUGUCCAAACGAGGGGAAUUCACUUUAGAAAUCCAGGUUUCUCUUUUCAGCUCUGUUCUCGGAGUUCUCGUGCGAGCCUGUGCCCCUCAGACCCAACAGCACCACCUUCCGUAGCGACGAGCUUAUUACCGAGGCUGUCCCCCGGGCGCGCCCAGCUCGGCCACGCCGGUCCCCAGGACGGGGACGAGUGGUCAACUGUCUUAGGGAUCUCGCACUCCAACAGCUGGAUACCUUCUGGCUGAAGAAAAGGGGACACAAUUAUGUAAACAGUAUGACCUGUAUUUCUCUCAGACUUUAAAAGUAUUAUUAAAAUAUUUUUAAAGUUUUGUGUUACAUUUAGUGAAUACCUAGAUAUGAUUUACCUUGUUUUGUCUGUGGAGGAACUUUAUAAAAAUUAAAUUGAAA